AUUGAACGCUGGCGGCAGGCCUAACACAUGCAAGUCGAGCGAGCGGCGGACGGGUGAGUAAUGUAUGGGGACUGCCCGAUAGAGGUGGAGAACUACUGGAAACGGUAGUUAAUACCGCAUACUAUAGGCCAACCCAUAUGGGAUUAGCUAGUAGGUGGGGUAAUGGCUGACCUAGGCGACGAUACCUAGCUGGUCUGAGAGGAUGAUCAGCCACACUGGGACUGAGACACGGCCCAGACUCCUACGGAGGCAGCAGUGGGGAAUAUUGCACAAUGGGCGCAAGCCUGAUGCAGCCAUGCCGCGUGUAUGAAGAAGGCCUUAGGGUUGUAAAGUACUUUAAGUCGGGAGGCGUUACCGACAGAAGAAGCACCGGCUAACUCCGUGCCAGCAGCCGCGGUAAUAC
rnacentral:rRNA from 1 species